GGGUACGUUAUCAAUUCAGAGGAUAUGCGGGUUAUCUCCCUCGAAAUCAAAUCAUCCGUAUCCAAACAAGUUUGGAUGUGUGUGCAAUGCAAGGGUGGACGUAAAUGGUUUGCUUAUCCAUUCCCUCCUGAAAAAAAAUUAGAUUUCUGAGGCUGGUACCCAAUUCUCCCACUUCAAAACAAUGGCUGAAGCUAUCAUGGGCUUUACCAUUGCUAAACCACCCCUCUAUAACUCUUUCCGACCAACAAAAUUUGACUUCAACCCAUCUUCAAAAUCGCUUAGGCAAUGUUCAAGCUCCAGACUUUUUAAGGGAUGGCAGCAGCCUGAAUCUGGCAGCCAGAGCAAAAGAGGCUCCUUUAGUAAAGUGAAUGCUUUUCCAGAUUGGCCUUUAAUGGCAGUGUUAGUAGAUCACCUGGACGGCCAAAGAGACCUAGUUACUUACAAGUCCAUAUGGCAUCUUAGUGAUCAAGCCAUAAAGAACGUUUGUGAGUGUACUCAUCUAUUUCUCACGGAUGAAUUUUAGUUUCACUAAUACUUUCUUUUCUUUCUCCCCUUCAGAUGUAUUUUACAUUAUGUUCACUAUUUGGGGAUGUCUGUUCUUCGGUUCAAUGAAAGAUCCAUACUACGAUUCAGAAGCAUACAGAAAAGAUGGAGGAGAUGGUACUGGGCAUUGGUUCUACGAGAAGCAAGAGGAUAUUGAAGAAUCUGCAAGAGCAGAGCUAUGGCGGGAGGAGUUGAUUGAGGAAAUUGAGCAGAAGGUUGGAGGAUUACGCGAAUUGGAAGAAGCUGGCCGAAAGUAGUUUCUUAUGGUUCUGAAUUAAAAACAUGGUUCUGUGAAAAUUUAUGCUGAUGAACUCUUCUAUAUGCUCAUUACGCCAUUUAUAAAAAUAUUUUAAGAAAAUUUUUCUAUGACCAUUAUGAGGAAUUGCAGUGUUUGUUAGCAGUCCCUCAAUAAUAAUGAAAAUGGAUUAGUCGCUUGAUUUUUAUUAUUAAAUAUUAAAAUACUUUUAAAAAUUAAUAAAUUAUAAAUCUCUACAACUAUCAUAAGUCAUAUUUAUCCGUUAUUCUUUAAGUAUAUAUGAAUAUAAUCAGCGUAAUGUUUAAGGCCUACUUAUAUGUAUAGUUGUUAAUAUCAUUAUUUUAUAUUAGACAUGCUAACUAUAAUCUCUUGUAAUGUAAAUAUUGUUGAUCUUUCUACAACCAUCAGCUGCCACUUUCAGAGACGAGAAAUUUUGGAGUUUAUUGAAAAACUAACUACAAAAUAUUCCAACCACCAGAAAUGAAUUUUUCAGUCCACUACUUCCAAAAUCCAAGAUGAUUCGACCAAACAUUUAUAUCAAGAACUGAUUUAUAAAGAGUGAGAGCUUUGUCUCUCUGUUUAGUGAGAGACUCCUUUUCUUUUCUUUUUUUUUUUCAAA
rnacentral:misc_RNA from 1 species